GAAUUUACUUGGAGAUGGUGCUCUCGAUAAGCCAAAAUAACAAUUUAAGCCUUCAAACUUACAGUGCCAGGUAAACAUGUGGGAAGAGCAUGCCUUCGCACUUGGUAUGCACCAUUUAAUGGCAUGUAUCUAUUAACUAACUAGGCCCUCUCCCAAAAACACAUUGACACAGUAUACAAAGAUUAAUAUACCCAUUGUCAACUUGUAGUCUCGGAGCUGUUGUUGCAGUCAUGAAAUACCGGCCAUCUGGAGACCACUCACUUGUAACGGACCAUUCGGCCUUAGUUGUUCCAAGCUGCUUUUUCUCUGUGUAGUCCCAAAAUGCCUAUAGGG